ensembl:lncRNA LINC00539 long intergenic non-protein coding RNA 539
AGAGCACUGGGCACAGGACAAGCUUGCUACCCCUGGGUGUGGGGCUGAGCAGGCCUGGAAGAAACAAGGCUGCUGGGCUGAGCUUGGGGCCAGCCGCUCAUUUCACCAAGCUGAGCUGUAAUCACAUCCCCAGGUAGCACUGUGCCUUCAGAAUAUGACUGAGCAGCAUUAUGUCUGCAGUGCUAAGCAGGUGUGAUCAAUAGAUGGAGAGCUGUGACCAGCUGGGCUGUGAUGCGGAGCCUGCAACCAAGCUGCCUGGGGGAAAUUCAGGAGGCCAGCCAUCGUCUUUAACCAGGGCAGCCCCGAGAGUGUCUGCAAGGGCUGCAUGCCCUGAGUAGAUCCUCGCAGAUGCUGAUCAGGGUGUCUUCUGGGCUCCACCUGGCACAGAAAAGCCAGCAAAGCUCCAGGGGCUUCCCUUCUUUCCUGGCAGAGAAAGAGCAGGCAGAUUCAGAGCCCCGUGAGGCUGUCUUGAGCUCCACCGGGAUCUAGGGAGAGCCAGCAGCACCACCAAGAUAUUUACGUUGUGAACUGGUAAAAUCUGAACUGCAGAAUAUCAAUUUCCAGACAUUCUUCCUAGAUGAUGCCGUCUGCCACGGAGACCAUGUAGAUGGAUUGAAUGGGGAUAUGAUGAGGAUGACCACCCCUGCAUUUGCUAAGUUCUUGGGAGUGGCAUCGAUCUCAGCCAUUCCACUGGAAUAGGGUCAGGAAACAAAACGUGAGGGCUCUACCAGCUGCUCAGUCUAUCCUUUCCAAUUGAGCACACUGGAACUGAGGAAGCAAAGACAGGGUGAGCCCUAACACCCUCAUCAUCACUGCUGAGCCUGCCUUGACAAGAACUCCAUUUAUCACCCGCCUCCAUAAUAGCCCAUUCUAACUAGCUGUCAUCGUGGCAUUUCAGGUUCUGCUGAUGUCAUUGUAAGAUAAUGGACCUUAACUAGUGGGCUGAAGGCAAUGAGGGGAUGUGAGGAUGCAUCUUGUGAAGGACAAAAGUCAUCCUGUAAGGAUUCAUGAGACCUGAGCAGCCAGCCAGCCCUGAAAUGGUUGGAACAGGAGAAAGAAGAAGAGCUCGACAGAUACCCUGCCUGGGCUGGCAGCUAGCUGCACCACAAGCUGGCCAGCUGACAGCGGGCACAUCCCUUCAUCACCCAGUGCCUUUCUUCCCUCUUGUGAAAAUGGAGAUAUGCUGAGAAGGUUACUUCAGCUCAUCCAGAGAAAGCUUCUUCAGCUAACUAGGCUGUAGAAAGGGCCUACAGCCUAAAUUUUCAAAAACAAGUUAAUGCCAGAAUAUAAACUCCGUGAAGUAACA